rnacentral:rRNA from 1 species
GAUGAACGCUAGCUACAGGCUUAACACAUGCAAGUCGAGGGGAAACGGCAUCGAAAGCUUGCUUUUGAUGGGCGUCGACCGGCGCACGGGUGAGUAACGCGUAUCCAACCUGCCCAUCACUUGGGAAUAACCUUGCGAAAGUAAGACUAAUGCCCAAUGACAUCCCACGAAGGCAUCCGAAUGGGAUUAAAGAUUUAGCGGUGAUGGAUGGGCAUGCGUCUGAUUAGCUUGUUGGCGGGGUGACGGCCCACCAAGGCAACGAUGGGUAGGGGUCCUGAGAGGGUAACCGGACCAAGUGGGAAUGAGAUACGGCCGAGACUACUAGGGGAGGCAGCAGAGGGGAAUAGUGCAUAAUGGGCGGAAGCCGGGUGCAGCAACGCGGCCUGCGGGAUGAUGGCCUUCGUGUUGUAAACAGAUUUGGCCUGUGACGAAGAGUGAGUGACGGUAAUUUGUAAAGAAGCACCGGCUAACUACGUG